UUUCCCUACGGGGCGCAGCAGUCGGGAAUAUUGCACAAUGGAGGAAACUCUGAUGCAGUGACGCCGCGUGCAGGAAGAAGGUUUUCGGAUUGUAAACUGCUUUAGAUAGGGAAGAUAAAAGACUGUACCUAUAGAAUAAGCUCCGGCUAACUACGUGCCAGCAGCCGCGGUAAUACGUAGGUGGCAAGCGUUGUCCGGAUUUAUUGGGCGUAAAGCGAGUGCAGGCGGCUCAAUAAGUCUGAUGUGAAAGCCUUCGGCUCAACCGGAGAAUUGCAUCAGAAACUGUUGAACUUGAGUGCAGAAGA
rnacentral:rRNA from 1 species